AUACUUACCUGGCAGGGGAAAUUCCAUGAUCACGAAAGUGGUUUUCCCAGGUCGAGGCUUAGCUAUUGCACUCCAGAUGUGCUGACCCCUGCGAUUUCCCCAAAUGUGGGAAACUCGAAUGCAUAAUUUGUGGUAGUGGGGGACUGCAUUCACACACACACACA
rnacentral:snRNA from 1 species